ACAACACACAGGAUUAUGUUUCAAAUCUAAUAUAAUCAACCAAUUUAAAUUUACAAUCCUAAACUCAUUUAAGUUUAGGAUUGUAAAACAGUGGGGGAAGUCACCCAUUACAACGCCCACGGAAGUGCUUUAAAACCUUUUUUUACGGAGCAGACGUGGGGUUAAAUAAGGACAUUUUAAUACCAGGCUUUAGAGAGAGGAACUCAGAAACUGGAGAGCAUGGCCAUGGGCUUCUCAAAGAGGUGUGUCCCUGAGUCUUAAAGAUGGGAGAAUGAAAACGUCCAUUUAUUGUGCUGGUUACGAACGGUUGCUGCUCUUCAGGGGCCCGGAGUCCGGUGCUCAGCACUCAGCGUCGGGCGGCUCAGAGUCACUGUAACUCCAGCUCCAGGGAAAUCCAUAGUUUUCUGGGCCUCCGAGGAUACCCAGCCCCACGUGAGCAGACACGUGAAAGAAAAGAAGAAGUCUUUUCUUUCUUCACAAUAUCACACACUUUACUUGAGGAGCCAACUCCCCAGACCUCACAAAAUAUUUUCUGGGUAAUUACGCUGUACAAGCCGCUGUUGCAGGUGUGGCGAGAACAGAACGAGGGAAACGACUCCCGGCAUUCAUUUUAGAAGAGACUGCCUGUGAGCUGGUACAGAGAAACUUCAGCAGGAGUCAAGGCAGGGACCUGGACAUGGAAACUGAAGCGAACACCAUGGAGGAAUAGUGUUUACUGUUCCUGACGGCUUGUUCCGCCCGUCCACCCACAGAGCUUUCUCUUCCCAGCAAACCCCAUACUGAUGGACUGACUCAACGAGUUCAAGGCCUGCUCAGGACAUGUCACACAACAGUUGCGGGGCCAAUCAAACCUUGCUUUCCUCAAAUGGACCAACCUUAAGUUAGAGGAGGAAAACUUCAGAGGCUUUAAAAGCCCAACCAUAGAGGAGAUCCUAAUUUUCAGCUGAGUCUGCCUCUGCUUUGCAGAGGGUCUUUUAAAACUCUGUGUCUGCUGCGCAUGUGGGCUUCCUUAUCCCCAAUAAAUGCCUUUCUCUGACUGCUGA